AGUGGAUGCCCUAUGAACUGGUUUUAGCUUCACUACCGGAUAUUUGUAGAGAUGGUGAAAAUAUAUGGCGUGCCCGAGUCCCGAUUAUAUGCUUUGAGUUUGUCAAAAUACAUGUGCCCAAUCGCGUGCUUCGACAAUUUGGAUUAAAAUAACAUAUUCCAUAUCCUGUAGAAAGAAUAGAGCGAAAUCCCCAAAAAGGAGCACAUCGUCAAAAUUGGGAGAUAAUUCGUCAAUCUUAUAUUAAGAAUUGGGAGUUGAGAGAGGAUGUUGUAGUGAUGGAGAAAGGUGACGCACCAGAACUAGAUGUGUACUUACGUUUGUAUUGGGGGAUUACUAGCCGAUGGAUAUAUCGAGAGAACAAAGCACCUAAGGCGUAUAUACCGAGGGGACCAAUUGAGUGAGAGUAGAAGACUCGUUAAGGUUGUUUCUAUUGUCCAUGAUGCAUUGAGAUCGACUACCGAGCAAGGGGCAAGGAAUGCAUUUAUUCGCAUCAUAGUAAAGAUUCAAUCUGCUCUUAGAAAGACACUUCACGCAAAUCGUGAUGGACGUCAAGAAGAACUCAUAGGGUACGAGCGUCAACGGUUGCGAGGACACACCAGGACGGGCUCAAGUCGUGCACAUGACGAACUCGGAUGUUCACAGCAGGUUCAAGACGGAUGUUCACAGCAGGUUCAAGCCGGAUGUUCACAGUAAGUUUAAGUCGAGGAGAAUGUCACGCGCUCACAAAUUCACACACAACCAGAUGAUGAGAUCAUCCAAGCUCGUGUUGAAGGUGAACGUGGACGAUGGAGAGGAAGAAGAGAGAAAGUGAGAGGAAAGAGAGUUCUAUAUGUUUGCUAAUUUUCGAUAUUGCUUGUUUUAUGAUGUUUAUGUUUGAAAUGCUAGUUGGACUAAGUGUUUAUGAUUGAAAUUUUACUAA